CUACGGGGGCUGCAGUGAGGAAUAUUGGUCAAUGGGCGCAAGCCUGAACCAGUCAUGCCGCGUGAAGGAUGACGGCCCUAUGGGUUGUAAACUUCUUUUAUAAGGGAAGAAACCCCCGAACGUGUUCGGGGUUGACGGUACCUUACGAAUAAGCAUCGGCUAACUCCGUGCCAGCAGCCGCGGUAAUACGGAGGAUGCAAGCGUUAUCCGGAUUUAUUGGGUUUAAAGGGUGCGUAGGCGGAAAAUUAAGUCAGUGAUGAAAUCCUGCAGCUUAACUGUAGAACUGUUAUUGAUACUGAUUUUCUUGAAUUCAGUUGAGGUAGGCGGAAUGUGUAAUGUAGCGGUGAAAUGCUUAGAUAUUACACAGAACACCGAUUGCGAAGGCAGCAUACUAAGCUGAUAUUGACGCUGAGGCACGAAAGCGUGGGGAGCGAACAGGAUUAGAUACCCUGGUAGUC
rnacentral:rRNA from 1 species